UACGGAGGGUGCGAGCGUUGUCCGGAAUCAUUGGGCGUAAAGGGCGCGUAGGUGGCCCGGUCAGUCAGUGGUGAAAGCGCGGGGCUCAACUCCGCGUCGGCCAUUGAUACUGCUGGGCUUGAGCACUGUAGAGGCAGGCGGAAUUCCCGGUGUAGUGGUGGAAUGCGUAGAUUUCGGGAGGAACACCAGUGGCGAAGGCGGUUGCCUGGAGCUUUGCUGACGCUGAGGCGCGAAAGCGUGGGGAGCAAACAGG
rnacentral:rRNA from 1 species